UCUGUAGUGACCUGCUAAAGGUCAUUCUUGGCCGUAUUUUUAGUUCCCACGUGGAGAAGCAGGAAGUGGUAGCAAUCCGAAGGUUUGAUCAGAUUUGCAAUACUCUCGGUCACACCCUGAAUUGUAGCUCCUGCAGCUAUAAAUGUGUCCUUGACAGUCUCCUGCACAUAGGCACCGCUCUCACAUAUGGAGGAGUAAAGCAGACAUGUUCAGGAGGUGCUGCAGAUUGUUAGCAGAGAGGAUGCAGUGAGGGAAUCGUUACCAAUCCAUGAGAAAACAUUCACUCUUAUCCCAUGUCAGAGCAGCUGCACAUGAUGGACAAUCAACUGUGGACUUUAGGAACAAGCACUGAGUGAUGGAAUAACUAUGCAGGGUUGGGACAACAUGCAGCAACUGGAGAACUUUCAGAUGUGCAAAAGCCACGUUCCUAGAAUUGUGUGAGGAGCUCAUGUCAGCCCUCUGACACCGGGACACAGAAUGAGAGCAUCACUAAAGGUGAAGAAGUGAGUAGCGAUCACUGUAAGGAAGCUAGCAAAGCCAGACUCCUACUGAUCAGCUGCAAAACAGUUUAGAGUUGGUAAAUCUACUGUGGGUGUUGCAGUGAUGCAAGCACACAGUGUCCAUAAACUACCUCCUACUAUGAAGGGCUGUGAAUUUCGGCUAUGUGCAUGUAAUAGUGGGUGAUUUUGCAGCAGUGGGAUUCUCUAACUGCAGUGGGACAAUAAAUGGUAUGGAUGUCCUAGCAUGCCUGCCCUGAAGUACAUCAACAAGACGGGAUAUUUGUCUAUGAUUUUGCAAGUGCUAGUGGAUCAUUGGGGUCAUUUCAUUGACAUCAGCAUGGCUGAUCAGGGAAGGUGCAUGAUGCCUAAAUCUUUAAGAACACAGGCUUAUGCAGAAAGCUGCAAGCAAAGACUUUCUAGAUCAGAGGAUUACCACUGGGAACAUGGAAAUGCCAAGAGUGAUCCUGAGAGAUGCAGCUUACCUCGGAAUACCAUGACUCAUGAAGCCGUACAUCAGCCAUCUUGACAGCAUAAAGGAGUACUUCAGCAACAGGCUCAGCAGAUGGAUAAUCACUGUCGCAUGUGCUUUUAGUUAAUUGAAAGGCUGCUGGCAUUGUCUACUUAUGAAAUGAGAUCUCCGUGAAAUAAAUGAUGCAGAAAGUGA